AUGAAGGGGACAGCACCAUGGCGCAGGCUCGCCGAGGCCGAGGCCGCCGUGAACCGCUCCGUCGCGGCAAGCAGCGUCGGGAAGUACUUCAAGCUUGAGGCCCGCAAGAGCUCCUUCACCAAGGAGCUGCGCGCCGGCGCCGCCACCUUCCUCACCAUGGCCUACAUCAUUUCCGUCAACGCCGCCAUCCUCACCGACUCCGGCGGGCCGUGCACCGUGCUCGACUGCACCCCGGUGGGCAACUCCACGGCCGUUCCUGGGCCGGAGUGCACGCUGGGCACGUCCAACCCGGGAUACGAGCAGUGCCUGGCGCGCACUAAGAGCGACCUGAUCGUCGCGACGGCUGUGGCUGCCAUGGUCGGCUCCUUUGCCAUGGGCACUCUCGCCAACCUCCCGCUCGCGCUGGCCCCCGGGAUGGGCGCCAACGCCUACUUCACCUACAACAUGGUGGGCUUCCACGGCUCGGGCUCCAUCCCCUACCGCACGGCGCUCGCCGGCGUCAUGAUGGAGGGCAUCAUCUUCUUCCUCCUGUCCGCCGUCGGGCUCCGGUCCAGGCUGGCGCGGAUGAUCCCGCGAAAUAUCCGCCUCGCCUCCGCCGUCGGGAUCGGCUUGUUCCUGGCCUUCACCGGUCUCCAGGCGAACCAGGGCCUUGGCAUGGUGGGCGCGAGCCCGUCCACGCUGGUCACACUCACCGCGUGCUCCCAAACCGACCCCGUCACCGGCGCCUGCCUCGGCGGCACCUUGCACAGCCCCACGUUCUGGCUGGGCGUGGCCGGCUUCCUCAUCACCGCCACAUGCCUCGCCAGGGACGUCAAGGGCGCCAUGAUAUACGGCAUAGUGUUCGUCACGGCCGUGUCUUGGAUCAGAGGCACCAGCGUCACGGUGUUCCCGGACACGGCCGCCGGCAAUGCCGGUUUCUCCUACUUCAAGAAGGUGGUGGACUUCCACAUGAUCAAGACCACGGCCGGGCAGCUCAGCUUCGGCGGCUUCCGCCACGGCAGCGUCUGGGUGGCCAUGCUCACGCUGCUCUACGUCGACGUCCUCGACACCACCAGCACAAUGUACUCCAUGGCCGAGUACGGGGGGUUCACCGACGGGGCCGGCGGGUUCGAGGGCGAGUACCGGGCCUUCCUCGUCGACGCCGGCUCCACGGUCCUCAGCGCCGGGCUCGGCAGCACCACGGUGACCACAUACAUCGAGUCGACGGCUGGGAUCAGGGAGGGCGGCAGGACGGGGGUGACCGCGGUCACCGUCUCGGCCUUCUUCCUGGCGUCGCUCUUCUUCUCGCCGCUGCUGAUGAGCGUGCCGCCGUGGGCCGUCGGGCCGUCGCUGGUGCUGGUGGGCGCCAUGAUGAUGCGCGUGGCCAAGGAGAUCGAGUGGGGCGACAUGAAGGAGGCCAUCCCGGCGUUCGUCACCAUGGCGCUCAUGCCGCUCACCUUCUCCAUCGCCAACGGCAUCAUCGCCGGCCUGGCCGUCUACGUCGCGCUGCACUGGUACGACUGGGCCGGCCUCGCGUGCGGCAAGGUGGGGAAGGCGCUCGACGACCGGCGCCGCAACCAGGUCGCCGCUGCCACGCCGGAGGUCGGCCCCGCCCCCGCCCCCGCGCAGGACGUCGUGUGA
rnacentral:rRNA from 1 species